rfam:Trachymyrmex cornetzi contig18026, whole genome shotgun sequence.
CCGCCCCGCACCCCCCUCAUUGCCCCUAAGUUAGAAUCCCCAUAGCUUUCCUACUUAAGUUGUCAAGAAUGUGUUGUUUUAAAGCUGAUAGCAAGCAUGUAAUCAAAUUACUGAGAAUUCUUUUAAAGAAUUCAAACCGCUAUUAGUGGAUUGUGCUUUAUGAUUACGUCUUACGACAUAAAGGUGAAGCCGAAUGCAAAACCUUAUUGCCUAAGUCAACCUCGUCGCGUACCGUAGCCUCUGAUGUCUAAGCUGAAAACGAAACUCGACGAAAUGCUCAAAAUGAAGAUAAUCCGACCAGUCGAGGAGCCGACAGAGCGAUGCAGUGGUCUGAUGAUAGUCAAGAAACGCGAGACCGAAGAUAUGCGUGUAUACGAGGAUCUUAGAUUCCUGAAUCGCACGGUUGCUCGUGAAAAUCAUCCGAUGCCGGUAGUAGAACAUACCCUUGGUCAGAUGCCAGGUGCCAAAUAUUUUUCAAAGCUCGACUGCGCCAGCGGAUUUUGGCAAGUACCAUUAUCAAAAGAAUUUAAAUUACUGACAACGUUUAUUACUUCCUUCGGGAGAUUUUGUUUCUUACACUUACCCUUUGGAAUCUCUUCAGCACCAGAGCAUUAUCAGAAACGAAUGUCUAGAAUUCUAGAGGGUUUAGAAGGCGUAACUAACCAUACAGACGAUAUUCUAGUUUGGGGAACAACCAGAGCAGAACAUUAUUCCCGUCUUCGUCAGAAAACUCAUGGAAAACAAUGUAACUUUAAACAAAGCGAAGUGCGUCUUCGGUGUUCAAGAAGUCAAAUUUUUAGGACACGUGAUUAGUGCCAACGGAAUCGCUGGUGAUCCAAACAAGGUUGACGAUAUCAAAAAGCUACACCCAGUUGGACACGGCUCAAUUGGACACGAGCCACUCUCAGCGCUUGAGACUACAAAGCUCCUAAGCACCGGUCGCUGUGAUUGGUGGUGUCCGAUCGAGCCGUGGUCAAUCGGGAUCACCCCGCUAAAACCCCCGAAAACGGUAACAGAGGUAAGGUUGUUCAUCGGAAUGGUGCAAUAUUUAGCAAAAUUCUUACCCAGGCUAUGUGAUCUGCUUGCACCCUUUUAUGCAUUAAUGAAAAAGGGUUCUGAGUUUAAAUGGCAAAAAUGUCACUAACAAGCAUUCUCGGAAAUAUGCCAUGAUUUAACAAUAACACCGUGCUUAGCCAUCUUUGACCCAUCACGUCCAAUAGUACUAACGGCGGACUCGGAGCAGUAUUACGCAUUCAAGAAACAAAUGGAAAUUGGAGGCCAGUGGCAUAUGCAUUAAGGACUCUAAGCGAAACCGAAAAGCGCUAUGUACAAAUUGAGAAGGAAGCUCUGGCGCUGACUUGAGCUUGUGAGAAAUUUCACGAAUUUAUUUACGGAGCACACUUCAAGCUGGAAACGGAUCAUAAGCCGUUGGUUCCAUUACUUCAGGCCAAAAAUCUGGAUGAAUUAAGCCCCCGUUUUCAACGUCUAAGAAUGAGAUUGAUGCAUGACGACUUCGAAGUGUUUCACUCACCAGGAAAAGAUAUCGUUGAUGCAGAUCACUUAAGUCGUGCGCCAAUACUGGAUAAAUCUAUUCAAGUGUCGGACCUAUCUGAAGAGGUGGAAGCUCACGUAAACACGGUAGUGCAACAUUGUGAGAUAUCGGAACGCGCGCGAGUCUCAUCUGGUAAAGCGAAUGAUUAGAGGCCUUGGGGCUGAAACGACCUCAACCUAUUCUCAAACUUUAAAUGGGUGAGAUCUCUGACUUUCUUGAACCAUGAAGUCACGAGUAUCUCGGAUCAGAGUGCCAAGUGGGCCAUUUUUGGUAAGCAGAACUGGCUGUGGGAUAAACCAUACGUAGAGUUAAGGCGCCCAACUCGACGCUCAUGGGACACCAUGAAAGGCGUUGGUUGCUUAAGACAGCAGGACGGUAGCCAUCAAAGUCAUAAUCCGCUAUGUAACAAUUCACCUGCCGAAGCAACUAGCCCUGAAAAUAGAUGGCGCUGAAGCGUCAAGCCUAUACUCUGCCGUCAGCAGCAAGUGGAGCGGCCGCGUGCGCGUCGCGAGGCGCAUACGCGCCGCCACGAGGCCCUGACGAGUAGGAGUGUCGCGGCGGUGUGCGCAGAAAGGUCUUGGCGCGAGCCUGCCUGGAGCAGCCGUCGGUGCAGAUCUUGGUGGUAGUAGCAAAUACUCCAGCGAGGUCCUGGAGGACUGACGUGGAGAAGGGUUUCGUGUGAACAGCCGUUACACACGAGUCAGUCGAUCCUAAGCUCUAGGAGAAAUCCUAUGUCAAUGACGGCGUACGAUACUCUAGUGUCGCAUUCUUGCAACUCUGCAAAUAAAGAGAGGAGAGAGAAACACACGCCCGUCGGGCGAAAGGGAAUCCGGUUCCUAUUCCGGAACCCGGCAGCGGAACCGCAUACAAUUCGGGCUCUCGUAAGAGUGUUCGUCGUGGUAACCCAAAAUGGAGACGCCGUCGGGAGAUCCGGGAAGAGUUUUCUUUUUUGUAUAAGUGUUCGAGUUCUCUGGAAACAUCUAGCAGGGAGAUAGGGUUUGGAACGCGAAGAGCACCGCGGUUGCGGCGAUGUCCGGAUCUUCCCCUCGGACCUUAAAAAUCCAGGAGAGGGCCACGUGGAGGUGUCGCACCGGCUCGUACCCAUAUCCGCAGCAGUCUCAAAGGUAAAGAACCUCUAGUCGAUAGACUAAUGUAGGUAAGGGAAGUCGGCAAAUUGGAUCCGUAACUUCGGAAUAAGGAUUGGCUCUGAGGAGCUGGGCGUGUCGGGCUUGGUCGGAAAGCGGGUCUGGCUGACGUGCCGGGCCUGGGCGAGGUGAACGUUCGGGUGUUCUCGCGCCAGUUCCGGGAUCCGAGCUCGGUCUCGUGCCUUGGUCUCCCGCGGAUCUUCCUUGCUGUGAGGCUUCCGUGACGGCGCGAGCUGUCGUGGUCGUCCUCUUCGGCCGCCAUUCAACGCUCAGCUCAGAACUGGCACGGACUAGGGGAAUCUGACUGUCUAGUUAAAACGAAGCAUUGCGAUGGCCCUCGCGGGUGUUGACGCAAUGUGAUUUCUGUCCAGUGCUCUGAAUGUCAACGUAAAGAAAUUCAAGCAAGCGCAGGUAAACGGCGGGAGUAACCAUGACUCUCUUAAGGCCGUCAAAAAUCUGUUAGAAGGUAAGAGGAAUAAUGCAAGGACGAAUAGAAGGAAGAAACAGGGAACCAAGAGCAGAAAACAGUAUAGAUAUGCCAGGGCGCAAGAGUUGU